rnacentral:piRNA from 1 species
UGGGACGCAGGGUGCGGUGCCACGACCUC